GGCCGGUUGGCCUAAUGGUAAGGCGUUGCUUUCCGGUUUCUACGGAACUUGGCAAAGAUUGCGGGUUCGAGUCCCGUGCUGGUCG